rnacentral:tRNA from 1 species
GGAGAGGUAAGUUAAAUUGAAACUAUGUGACUCAUGCUCACACAUUAAAUAUUUGUAUUUCUUCUCUU